rnacentral:rRNA from 1 species
AAUCAAAGUUUAUUAAUUCGGGAGUAAAGUUUUGUUUAAACCGAAAAAAUAUUGACUGACUUUAGAUUUUUCUUUGGAAUAUGUGUUUUUGGAGAGCCCUCUUUUUUGGUAAAUUU